ACACACACACACACACACACAUGGACACAACUACACACACUCUCACACAUAGAGAGAAAGGGUUAAGAGAGCCCUGAGGCCAAGUGAUUUACGCAAGAAUGGGCUGAAUAGUUACUGUCUCGUUCUGCAUGUGUGUGUGUGUGUGUGUGUGU
rnacentral:miRNA from 1 species